rnacentral:rRNA from 1 species
AGUGAACGCGGCGGCAGGCCUAACACAUGCAAGUCGAGCGGCAGCGGAAAGUAGCUUGCUACUUGCCGGCGAGCGGCGGACGGGUGAGUAAUGUCUGGGAAACUGCAUGAUGGAGGGGGAUAACUACUGGAAACGGUAGCUAAUACCGCAUGACCUCGAAAGAGCAAAGUGGGGGAUCUUCGGACCUCACGCCAUCGGAUGUGCCCAGAUGGGAUUAGCUAGUAGGUGAGGUAAUGGCUCACCUAGGCGACGAUCCCUAGCUGGUCUGAGAGGAUGACCAGCCACACUGGAACUGAGACACGGUCCAGACUCCUACGGGAGGCAGCAGUGGGGAAUAUUGCACAAUGGGCGCAAGCCUGAUGCAGCCAUGCCGCGUGUGUGAAGAAGGCCUUAGGGUUGUAAAGCACUUUCAGCGAGGAGGAAGGCACCAUACUUAAUACGUGUGGUGAUUGACGUUACUCGCAGAAGAAGCACCGGCUAACUCCGCGCCAGCAGCCGCGGUAAUACGGAGGGUGCAGGCGUUAAUCGGAAUUACUGGGCGUAAAGCGCACGCAGGCGGUUUGUUAAGUCAGAUGUGAAAUCCCCGCGCUUAACGUGGGAACUGCAUUUGAAACUGGCAAGCUAGAGUCUUGUAGAGGGGGGUAGAAUUCCAGGUGUAGCGGUGAAAUGCGUAGAGAUCUGGAGGAAUACCGGUGGCGAAGGCGGCCCCCUGGACAAAGACUGACGCUCAGGUGCGAAAGCGUGGGGAGCAAACAGG